rnacentral:rRNA from 1 species
UGGGGAAUUUUGGACAAUGGGCGAAAGCCUGAUCCAGCAAUGCCGCGUGUGUGAAGAAGGCCUUCGGGUUGUAAAGCACUUUUGCCCGGAAAGAAAUCCUUGGCUCUAAUACAGUCGGGGGAUGACGGUACCGGAAGAAUAAGCACCGGCUAACUACGUGCCAGCAGCCGCGGUAAUACGUAGGGUGCAAGCGUUAAUCGGAAUUACUGGGCGUAAAGCGUGCGCAGGCGGUUUGCUAAGACCGAUGUGAAAUCCCCGGGCUCAACCUGGGAACUGCAUUGGUGACUGGCAGGCUAGAGUAUGGCAGAGGGGGGUAGAAUUCCACGUGUAGCAGUGAAAUGCGUAGAGAUGUGGAGGAAUACCGAUGGCGAAGGCAGCCCCCUGGGCCAAUACUGACGCUCAUGCACGAAAGCGUGGGGAGCAAACAGGAUUAGAUACCCUGGUAGUCCACGCCCUAAACGAUGUCAACUAGUUGUUGGGGAUUCAUUUCCUUAGUAACGUAGCUAACGCGUGAAGUUGACCGCCUGGGGAGUACGGUCGCAAGAUUAAAACUCAAAUGAAUUGACGGGGU